UACAGAGACUGCAAGCGUUAUUCGGAUUCACUGGGCGUAAAGGGCUCGCAGGCGGCCAAGUGUGUUAGGUGUGAAAGCCCGAGGCUUAACCUCGGAAUUGCACCUAAAACUACAUGGCUAGAGUACUGGAGAGGGUAACGGAAUUCACGGUGUAGCAGUGAAAUGCGUAGAUAUCGGGAGGAACACCUGUGGCGAAAGCGGCUCACUGGACCACAACUGACGCUGAGGCGCGAAAGCGAGGGGAGCAAACAGG
rnacentral:rRNA from 1 species